UACGAAGGGGGCUAGCGUUGCUCGGAAUCACUGGGCGUAAAGGGUGCGUAGGCGGCUCUUUAAGUCAGGGGUGAAAUCCCGAGGCUCAACCUCGGAACUGCCUUUGAUACUGGGGAUCUCGAGUCCGGGAGAGGUGAGUGGAACUGCGAGUGUAGAGGUGAAAUUCGUAGAUAUUCGCAAGAACACCAGUGGCGAAGGCGGCUCACUGGCCCGGAACUGACGCUGAGGUGCGAAAGCGUGGGGAGCAAACAGG
rnacentral:rRNA from 1 species